rnacentral:rRNA from 1 species
UACGUAGGGGGCAAGCGUUAUCCGGAUUUACUGGGUGUAAAGGGAGCGUAGACGGCAAGGCAAGUCUGAAGUGAAAGCCCGGUGCUUAACGCCGGGAUUGCUUUGGAAACUGUUUGGCUGGAGUGCCGGAGAGGUAAGCGGAAUUCCUAGUGUAGCGGUGAAAUGCGUAGAUAUUAGGAAGAACACCAGUGGCGAAGGCGGCUUACUGGACGGUAACUGACGUUGAGGCUCGAAAGCGUGGGGAGCAAACAGG